CUGAAAGCUUCUGGAGACCAAAGUCCUCUCUCUAUCCACAGGACAGGAACAGCACGGGCAGUGGCAAUGCGAGCUUUCCCACACUGCCCCAGCAAGGUGACUCAGNGAACGGAAAAUCUCAGGUGAAUUUAGUGCCUCUCACUUCUAGGGGUGACAGAGAAAUUAAUUCCUUAUGUUAAUUAAUUCCCUGACCUCA
rnacentral:sRNA from 1 species